AUCACCAGAGUCUAUUAAAAAAAAAGAGUAAAAACAAGCAAAAGAAAAACGUAAAAACAAGCAAAAGAAAAAAAAUGUAAAAGCAAGCUCACGUCGUUCAUGCUUCUUCCUUCUCCUUCCUCGAAUUGUUUCGAAAAAUGGAGACCCAGAAUCAAAAGUACUACGAAAAGUAGGGAUCAUGGGUAAUUUAUCAAUCUAAGUCGCUCCUCAGUUUCGUGUUUUGCGUGUUGCUGAUUUGCAAUGUUUGAGGGAAGCUCAGUGCAACGUUUGAGGGAAGCUCAGGGGAAUUUGUAAGCAUCAAUCUUUGGAGCAGUAUACAUAUUCUCAUUCGUCUUUUACGGCCAACAAACCCAGCUCCCUUGACUGGAUGGAGACAAUUCCUGUAGCUGGUUGGGGAUCUUCCAUGAUUAGCGCAUGGAAUAAAGUUUUAGCUCCAACAUACCUCAAGAUGACAUAGUUGAUCUAAUAUUCAUAUUUGCAACUUUGUUACAGUGAGGC